AAUAUUGGACAAUGGGCGAAAGCCCGAUCCAGCCAUGCCGCGUAAGGGAAGAAGGCCUUCGGGUUGUAUAGCCCUUUCGGUCGGAAAGGAAACGCACACGCCAAUACCCUGCGCGGAGUACGGCACCGUCAGAAGAAGCACCGGCUAACUACGUGCCAACAGCCGCGGUAAUACGCAGGGUGCGAGCGUUAAUCGGAAUUACUGGGCGUAAAGCGUGCGCAGGCGGUUGAUUAAGACAGGCGUGAAAUCCCCGGGCUUAACCUGGGAACUGCGCUUGUGACUGGUCAGCUAGAGUACGGCAGAGGGGGGUGGAAUUCCACGUGUAGCAGUGAAAUGCGUAGAGAUGUGGAGGAACACCGAUGGCGAAGGCAGCCCCCUGGGCCGAUACUGACGCUCAUGCACGAAAGCGUGGGUAGCAAACAGG
rnacentral:rRNA from 1 species